rnacentral:rRNA from 1 species
UACGUAGGGGGCAAGCGUUGUUCGGAAUUACUGGGCGUAAAGCGCGUGUAGGCAGCCUCGCAAGUCGGAUGUGAAAGCCCUGGGCUCAACCUAGGAAGUGCAUUCGAAACUGCGAGGCUGGAGUCCUGGAGAGGAAGGCGGAAUUCUCGGUGUAGCGGUGAAAUGCGUAGAUAUCUGGAGGAAUACCGGUGGCGAAGGCGGCAUCCUGGACCGGCAUUGACGCUGAGGAGCGAAAGCUAGGGGAGCAAACGGGG